AUUGAACGCUGGCGGCAGGCCUAACACAUGCAAGUCGAACGAGUGGCGGACGGGUGAGUAAUGUCUGGGAAACUGCCCGAUGGAGGGGGAUAACUACUGGAAACGGUAGCUAAUACCGCAUACCAUCGGAUGUGCCCAGAUGGGAUUAGCUAGUAGGUGGGGUAAAGGCUCACCUAGGCGACGAUCCCUAGCUGGUCUGAGAGGAUGACCAGCCACACUGGAACUUAGACAAGGUCAAGACUCCUACGGGAGGCAGCAGUGGGGAAUUUUGCACAAUGGGCGAAAGCCUGAUGCGGCCAUGCCGCGUGUGUGAAGAAGGCCGUCGGGUUGUAAAGCACUUUCAGCGGUGAGGCGUUACCCGCAGAAGAAGCACCGGCUAACUCCGUGCCAGCCGCCGCGGUAAUUC
rnacentral:rRNA from 1 species